rnacentral:lncRNA from 1 species
CCAACAGCACAUCUCCCUAAAUGAUGGCAUGCCAGGCUGGUGAACACUAACCUCCAAGAGAGAAGUCAUCUGUCACCGGGCUCUCAGACAGCUUGCCUUAACCCACAGACUUCUAAGGCAGAGAAUGCUAUAUGGGAACCUGGAAGGACAUUACUAUCAGAGCAGCAGACAGAGAUUUAAAUAGAAACAUCUUUCCAACACUCACACCAAAUUUGGGAAGUGAAGCGACUAAGAUGUCCGCAAAGUGAAGAGGAACCUGGCUCACACCUCAGGUGAUUCAGGCAGCACUGUGCUCCAGCACUCAGGAUGAUGCAGGUAAUAAGUACUGUAUCCCCCAGCACCCAGGGGAAUACAAGCACUUCUGUUACUGUAAAAGACCCCAUAAGCUCCCAUGUUUGAAUACUUAGUCCCAGUUGACGGUGUUAUUUGGAGAUGAGGAAGUGUGACCUGAGUAGAGGAGGAGAAGUGCGGCCGGGCGGUUGCUUUGAAGUUUCCGAAGCCGAACGCCAUCCUCUUCUAGCUUCCUCUGCCUUUGUUUGUGAUCCGAGACCCGAGCUGCUGCUUUGAGCGGCCACCUGCUCCCCCUACUCCAAUGUGAACUCCAAUCCACAACUCUAAGCCCUAAACCCUUCCAACCCACAACUCUAAGCCCUACCGAGACCUUUCCUUCUGCAAGUUGCCUUGGUCGAUGUUUUUCAUAGCAGGACAGUAACUAAAACACCUACCUGAAGAAAAGUUUGAAACGGGAACUUUAGCCAGAGACUCACUGGCUAUUAUUAGGCAAAACCUCCUGGAGGGUGGGGG